rnacentral:rRNA from 1 species
GACAAACGCUGGCGGCGUGCAUAAAACAUGCAAGUCGAACGGACUUCAGUCCGCAAGGACUGAAGUGAGUGGCGAACGGCUGAGUAACACGUAGGUGACCUGCCCCGAAGUUUGGGAUAACAACUCGAAAGAGUUGCUAAUACCGGAUGUGACCACCGAUUCAUUUCGGUGCUUAAAGUCGCAAGACGCUUUGGGAGGGGCCUGCGGCGGAUUAGCUAGUUGGUGUGGUAACGGCAUACCAAGGCUUCGAUCCGUAGCUGGUCUGAGAGGAUGGCCAGCCAGACUGGGACUGAGACACGGCCCAGACUCCUACGGGAGGCAGCAGUUAGGAAUUUUGCGCAAUGGAGGAAACUCUGACGCAGCCACGCCGCGU